CUGUGUGGUAUCAGGUCUGUUUGUGCCCAAUACAUUUUCGCACCCUACACAUUCGCACAUUCACACUCUACUCAUUCGUGCCCAAUUUUAAUUCAAAUUCAAGUUGAAUAAUUGGAAAAUCAUGGUUGUUGUUUUAAAUUGCUUUGGUGUAAAUACUGAAUGUAUUUAUAGCUUGGUAUGAGUAAAACAUUGAAGAUUUUAAAGGAAAAAACACAAAAGAUAAUUGUUUUUAACAGCUUGGUCCCAUUGAUCUGAAACAACGAAACAAUAAAACAUAGAAACCAAAAUAUAGCAAUCCACUAAUAUAACCAAAACAUGAUAAAAUUUAUUCAACACACAGAAAACAAACAUAGUCAGAAUCUCACUUCAUUUUGAAACAAGUCAAUGAAACAAGUUAUAGCAAUACACUAACCAAAACAUGAUUAAGAGUUAUUCAACACAAAAUAAAACGUUGACAAAAUACCACUUUAUUUAGAAAGGAUUAUUAUUAUUUUUAGCAAUACCCUAUCCAAAACAUGAUUAAGAUUUAUUCAACACAAAAAAAAAAUUGCUGUCUCACUUUAUUUUGAGACAAUGACAACAAUUAUACUUAUAAGAAAACACUUGCUUACAGAGUUAUUAAACACAAAACCAAUUAAGAUUGGGUGCGAACAUGUAGGGUGUGAAAGUGAAAGGGGGUGAAAAUGAGUGGGCGCAAACGUGAAUGGAAGCGAACGGACCCGUAUUCAGACUAUGUACCAGUGAGAAAUAUACAAGCCUUUCUAUGGUAUUUAUUUGUACAAUUCAGCUAGUCUUGACCUAUUCAUUUGUCUUAAAAAACCAGCCAGUUGUCACCUUCACUUCACACACACACACAUAUACGAAUAUCAAUUAUAUGCUCACGAUACAUGUUGCAUUGUUAAACUAAUUACGGUAUGUGAAAAUCAAGACUUGCAUAAAAACUAUCCCAAUAUUAGAGACAGUGGCGUCAUUUUUCUUCAGAGCUUUCAGCUCUUUGAUUUAACAAUAUAUGUGCUCCUGGUUACAUGCAUGCGCUUGCGCAUGUACAAAAUGUAUGUAACCAGACAUUCUCGUUAUCAACAUCGACAUGAUGAUGUAAGGAAUCUUAUAUUAAUUGUUCAAACAAGAAAGGGGGGGGGGGAGCAAUACCUUUUUGUGUUAACCUGUUAUGGCCCUUUUCAAGGUGUUGUUAACUGUUAUCUGAGAUCAAUUUAAGCUGUUAACUGUUUUCAACCCACUUUGUUAACUGUUAUCAGCAUUUCUGCAUUUUUUGUUCACUGUUUUUGCCAAAAUCGAGGUGUUGUUAACAUGUUAACGGAUCCCCUAUUGCCCUCCCUCAAGAAGGGAUUUAAUUUAGUACGGCUUCGUGUCGGACCAUCGGAUUGUCGGAUUAACGGACUGUCGGACUAUCGAACUGUCGGACUGUCGGACUACUGGACUGUCGGAAUUUCGGGGUGUCGGAUUAUAGCUACG
rnacentral:lncRNA from 1 species